rfam:Lepisosteus oculatus linkage group LG8, whole genome shotgun sequence.
GUGGGCUAUGGAGACAUGUGCCCUGUCACAAUCGGUGGCAAAAUCGUGGGUUCGUUGUGUGCCAUUGCUGGUGUGCUGACAAUUGCGCUACCUGUCCCUGUCAUAGUCUCAAAU